CGGGUGAGUAACGCGUAAUCAACCUGCCCUUCAGAGGGGGAUAACAACGGGAAACCGUUGCUAAUACCGCGUACGAUUCAUAGACGGCAUCGUUUGUGAAUGAAAGGUGGCCUCUAUGUAUAAGCUAUCGCUGAAGGAGGGGAUUGCGUCUGAUUAGCUAGUUGGAGGGGUAACGGCCCACCAAGGCAAUGAUCAGUAGCCGGUCUGAGAGGAUGAACGGCCACAUUGGGACUGAGACACGGCCCAA
rnacentral:rRNA from 1 species